rnacentral:lncRNA from 1 species
AUGGGGUGGAGUCUCACGGGGGUGGGGUCUUCUCCGACGGAGGCCACUAUCUUCUGCACCACCAUCUUGCAGGUCACACACUUGAUAAACGGUUCUUUGCUCUGGAGGCCCUGUGGGGGAAGCGGGGGGGCGGGGGUGUCGGUCCCUCUAAACAACACGUCCGCGGGACCUGUCUGUGCCUCCCCCGGGGUGGGCCGGAGGACGGACGGAGCCAGGGGCAAUCUAGCCUGGAACACCUUCUCCCUCCACCCGCACCCACCCCCCGAGGGGCCUUCAUCAGAACUUGAUGCCCACGCAGACGUCCCGGGGAGACUUGCCCAGCCGAACAGCAAUGGCGAUGGGGAGCAAGUAUUUCAACAUGAGAGUCUGGCAGGACUUCCGGAGGAUAAAACUCACAAACUUGCACAACUGGUUCUCCGCACGCUUAAUCGCCUCCUGCAGGCAAACACAGCCGGGGGAUGGAUGGUCAGGGGCCCAAACUCGGGGGCGACACCACUCUCUUGAUGGGCAAGGACAAGGAGUGAGAGGGAUCCAUGUGGCUCUUCACCUGGAAUUCUGGGUCCCCCGGGCCCCCCGCACCACCGACAGCCCUCCACCUGUCAGGCUGGGGUGAAUGGGCGCUGUGGGUGGGGCCGCUGAGUUCGACUACCUCCCCCAACUCGGUCAGAGGCCCCUGGGGCAAGGGAUGGGACUCACCAUGUCCUUGGUGUUGUUCCCAACCAUGUCCUUAAGUUUCUGCAUGAUGAUCUGACAGCUGCUACAGGUCACUUGGGCUGAUCCCUCCUGGUCAAGCAGACAGACACCCACUGUGUUUGCUCCACCUCUCCCGCCUGUCACCCUGUCCUCCCGCCCGUCUAGUCGCCAGGGGCCCAGGGUGGCUCUCCAGGCUGAAUUUGGGGACGCGGGGCCAGGGUAGGGGGCCUGGGAUGGGAACAGAGUGGCGAGGGGGCCAGGGCAGGGAGCGGGGAAGUCCAAAGGGGGGCCAGGGGCUCGGAGUGGGAGCAGGCCGAAGGGUGAGGCUCACCAAGAAGGAGCUGUCUUGCUGGUGCUGCUGGCUCUGGAGGGUGGGUUCCUGCCGAUGAUCCUUGGAGAUCAGGCCUGUGCUAGCCCAGGCUGGCCAUGAGAAAAACAGAGACUUAGAGAUCAAGGCCGAAGGCA